UAUAUCUGUUAUAUCUGUUAUACGAGAACAAGUUAGUUUACUGAGCAAAUUAAUUCCCGCUUCGGUCAUUCCAACCCUACUUCCAAACCUGCUCAUUAAACCCCACACAUGUAUUCAUAUUAGCAUAUAAAAAUGAUUAUAGCGGAACGGAUACUCUCCGCCCUUUCUGGCCUCUUAGGAAAGUCGUGAUGUUCCUACAAUUUACGGAGUUUCUAAUUCUAAUUGUCUCAAUCUGCCAAAAACCUCCACUCCGACUACAAAGGUGCGUAUUAUUUUUUAUACAUGCAAUCAGAUUUUACUUCAAUUAUUUGUGGAUUUCGCUAUGUGUAUAUUGUUAGUCAGUGAGGAUAAAUUUUAGGCAUAUCAUUGGAAAUGUAUCCCCUUUUCGUUAGGAUUUUUACAGAUACAUUUUCUUCUCCUGUCCGACAAGUUAGCCACCAAUUUAGCUUUGAAGCUAUCUGCAUAUGACUCUAAAUUUUGGUCUUGUACAGUUUCGACGGUGAUCAUAUAACGUGUUAUUGAAUUUUAUAGCUAGAACUAGACUUGAUUGAAUUUGCUUGAAAAGUUGUUUCAUCCUUAUAUGAUUUUAGCGCUUAAAUUUGUUGUUUAAUCUACUAUAUUUGUUUUUUUAGUUAUUCUGUUGAUUUUGGUGGAAUAUGGGUUGUAAAUGGAUAUAUUAGAUACAUUGAAUCAUGUUCUGUCUCCCUUUUUCAGUUUCUGGAAAAUCAUCCAAUACAUUUCAAACUUUCAAAAUUAAUUGAAAUUGUGAAGAUAAAGCUUCUUCCCUGUUUAAUUCUUUGACGCUUUUUAGUCUAAUUUAUAUGACUCCAUUCAUUGUAUUAAUUCAUCAUUUUAAAAAUGCACUGCACUUCCUUUUGUAAUGUUUUGCAGUUCUGUUAGGAGCUGAACUAUAUUGUAUUAUAUGCUACACCGCUGAUGCUCUACAUGCCUAUUUAGUACCUAAUUUAUAAACAUAAUGCAAAUACGGAUUUUCAGAAGAAAUUAUUAGUUCUGAAUUAUUUUAAGACAAAGCUAUCGAUGCAUCUAUACACUGGUGUACAUCUCUGCCCAAUGGCCUGUUUUAGAUGUGUGUAUUUCAUUGGAAGAUAGAAAUGGUCCAGGUUUUUAAUCCACAUGUGCCUAUCGUAAUCUAAAAAACCUAUAGGAGUUGUAAGCACAAUCUGAAUCGGUCUAAUCAUUAUGAGUGAAGUCAUAUGCACAUCCGAAUGGAUGAAGUCAUUUAUUGUGAUUCCUAUAUGCAGGAGGAUAUCUUAGUGGAUCUGUUUUAAUUUUCCCAGAUUUGCCAUAUAUGACCAAUAUGACGUCCUUGUGAGUUGAUCAUGGGAAUUUAUUAUGUCCAAAUGCAUUAAGUUUUUAAUUGGUGCUUCUGCUCUGUCUGUUUACAAUUAUUCUUAUGCAGGAUACUCCGGAAAUGCCUAAUUAACGCUUCCAUUUCCAGCAUACAUUGUCGUCAUGAGAAGUUUAAAUACACUGUACAUUGAUCUAUAAAACUAUUCUUUUAUAUUAGUAUCAUUCACUAUUUUUACUCAUUUAUUAUGAUUGUCAAGGACAUCAUAAAUCUUCUAAUCUCUAGUAAUUUAGAAACUGGACAGAACUUUUGAAAGUGAUCCAUCAAUUUUAUAUAAGAGUUGGGUCUGCUCUCUGCAGCACUGUUUUGAUAACCACCCAAAUUUCUCUAUAUGAUUUUUAAAAUAGAUUUUGGGUUAUAUAUGUAUCAAACACAAAAUUUUCCUUUAAGGUCUUACUUGAUUCCAAGAAGGUCAAGAGCUGGUUGGAGGAGAAAGAGGCUGAAGAAGCUAGGUAAGUUCCACCAAUUUUGAAAUGACUGAUGCUUCUGCAGUUGAGAAGCAAUGGGGAAUCAAUUCAGUUUCUUACACGUCUUAGUUCCGGAAUUGAAUGGAAAACCAUGUUCUAACCCGACUCAGUUUGUCUUCAAGGCACAGAAAGUCAUCAAAAGAAAGAGAGAAUCUUCAGCUAUCUUUCUCACUGGCAGAUUAUUAGAAACAAUGAGGAGAUAUAGGUCCUGAGAUGGUUGUCAGGGGAACUCUGCCCACAUUCGGAAUCAAUGCUAUGCAAUUCCAGCCAGGUGGGUUUAUAUGCAUUGGUUGUGUAAUACAUAAUCAUUGGUCAGAUGCAAUACAAAUCAAAAAAACUUUCAUUCUUAUCCUCACCGGUAAUGAAGCUGAGAAGGAUAGUGUUAAGCAAGUUUCUCUAUGACCCGUGCAUAAGUAAUCUUAUAAAUUGACCAGACUCGAAGAAUCUCACCUAUGCAUAAAAUCGCCCUCCAAAAGCUGCUGGUUCAAUUCUCAAUUUUCCAUUUGAUGCAGCAAUGUACACACCAUAGAAAAGUUUCAUGUCAAAAUCAUACAAGAAAAGCCUCGUGUGGCUUUAUUUUUUUUAACAAUGUCCAUCUUUGCCGAGGGAAGAUCAAAAACUCUGUAUUUAUAGCAAUCUGUUUUAGUUUUCCCAUUACA